rnacentral:rRNA from 1 species
CCUACGGGAGGCAGCAGUGAGGAAUAUUGGUCAAUGGACGAGAGUCUGAACCAGCCAAGUAGCGUGAAGGAUGACUGCCCUAUGGGUUGUAAACUUCUUUUAUAUGGGAAUAAAACGUUCCACGUGUGGGAUUUUGUAUGUACCAUAUGAAUAAGGAUCGGCUAACUCCGUGCCAGCAGCCGCGGUAAUACGGAGGAUCCGAGCGUUAUCCGGAUUUAUUGGGUUUAAAGGGAGCGUAGGUGGAUUGUUAAGUCAGUUGUGAAAGUUUGCGGCUCAACCGUAAAAUUGCAGUUGAAACUGGCAGUCUUGAGUACAGUAGAGGUGGGCGGAAUUCGUGGUGUAGCGGUGAAAUGCUUAGAUAUCACGAAGAACUCCGAUUGCGAAGGCAGUUCACUGGACUGCAGCUGACACUGAGGCUCGAAAGUGUGGGUAUCAAACAGGAUUAGAUACCCCAGUAGUC